UAUAUAUAAACCACCCCGAACCCCUCGAUUAGAUUCCAGUCUGUAACUCACCCCCGGGUAUCUGUUAUUCUAUAUAUAAACCCACCCGAGCCCCUCGAUUAGAUUCCAGUCUGUAACUCACUCAUCAGCACCAUACCGUCCACUGCAGUUUGGAAAUCGAGCCCUUACCCACCCAGAGACCCCUCUUCUCCAGAAUUUCAGCAACUGCCUGGAGUUUUUGGUGAAGAGUUGUCAUAUGAGAGUUACUCUGCAGUACUGGUCCAAGGAGCAGCGGUGCUGGAUCAUGGGGAUGAAUAUCGGUUCUGAAGAUGCAGGUCCAGACAGUGGAUUAACUGGACUGAGACUGAGAGCCACAUUCCUGCCUUUGACUGAGGAGCUCGGUUGACUGCUCCUUCCACAGCAGGGAAGGACUUAGAGAGGCAUUGGCAUCAACACCCACUCCGAUCGCGGACCUGCCCAGAACCCCGAAGAUGUUUGGCGGCACUCUCUGUACCACCGUUAUGAGCCUCUCGGGUGA